rnacentral:lncRNA from 1 species
AUGCCCUUUAGUUUGAAAUUGGGAGGGAAACAUAUUGUGCUUGUGGCGCCCGCCACCACAUCAUGGCGCCCGCCAUAAGAGUAAAGUGUGGCGCCCAAAUGGAGAUAGUGGGAGAUGAGGCAGUUGAGGGGAAGUUGGACUAUGACAUGUCAUGGUUGGACCCAUGGCGCCAGCCACAGUGGGAGCCACAAGUGCAAAAUGCUGAUUUUUAGGUUUUUUAGCUCGUUUUCACUCCUUUUC